rnacentral:tRNA from 1 species
AGCUCAGUGGUAGAGCACAGGACUUGCAAACCUAAGGCCCCAGGUUUGAUCCUGG